rnacentral:rRNA from 1 species
UACGAGGGGGGCGAGCGUUGUUCGGAAUUAUUGGGCGUAAAGGGUGCGUAGGCGGUUCCGCAAGUCCUGUGUGAAAUCUUCGGGCUCAACUCGAAGUCUGCACGGGAAACUGCGGGGCUUGAGUGUGGGAGAGGUGAGUGGAAUUCCCGGUGUAGCGGUGAAAUGCGUAGAUACCCGGAGGAAUACCAGUGGCGAAGGCGGCUUCCUGGUCUGGACCUGACGCUGAGGCGCGAAAGCUAGGGGAGCGAACGGG